UCCUUGGUGGCUCAGAGGUUAAAGCGUCUGCCUGAAAUGCGGGAGAUCUGGGUUCAAUCCCUGGGUCGGGAA
rfam:Ovis aries breed Texel chromosome 4, whole genome shotgun sequence.